rnacentral:lncRNA from 1 species
CCACAUUACAAAGCGCCUCUGAGGUCUCCUCCCAAGAACGGGGUGUGUUUGUCCUCUAGCACUAGGUGGGUUUGCUCCCUCCCUAGAUCUUCCAUCCAGGAUAGUCCUGGAAAUGAUCUUGAUGCUAUCUGUUCCUCGUUACAGCAGACCUGCUCAACUUCAGCAGCUAGAAGGAGGAUUGUCUUUCACCAGCUGCAGGAGCCUGUUCCCACUACACCUGGUGGAGUCUUCGGAGCAGAUGUGACUGUCCUACUUGUAUAGAGAAGAGAAACUGAGGCUCAGAAGAGAUGCCUGGCUGAGUUUAAUAGGACUGCAACAACAAUUUUGCCUUUCUACUUUCUGGUACAGUGGUCUUUCCUUUGCCAUCAUGCCUCAGCAUAUCCAUGUUAGUAAAUUCUCCCAGUUGGGGAAAAGCUUGGCAGCAAUGAAAGUUAAUGUGAUGAAUCAUUUAGAUGGACAGAUUGGAAAAAUGUUGUUCCUUUUGCAUGUGAUGUUCUUGCCAGAAAUCAAGUAGGUGGAGUUUUUGAAGCGUGAUCAGUUAGAUAAGUAUGGUGGUUUUAAAUAAUCAAGCAUGGAGCCAUACCGGUUAUGUUUAAUUUAUAACAAAAUCAGACAAUUCAGGCAUGAUGUUGAACUCAUUGAGCUUGGCUCACUACUACAUUUCUCUCACCAAAAGCAAUGACUAUAAAGAGUUACAAAUACCAUGACCUUAUAUCAUAAAGCAUAAAUUAUUCCAGGAAGUUUUCCAUUUAAGUCAACUUCUCAAAAUCUUAGGAGAAAACUACCAAUAUUCAGUUCAAACCCCAGAGGCUUAAGGAAAAAUAUUAAUGUUGAAAUAGCAAGUAAGUGGUAGUAUCCUCGCUGUAUGCACAAUUGCAUCUGCUCGGGGGUUAGUCUUUCUUUAGCUCCUGUCUACAACUCACACCAGUCUCCAUAAAAGAAAUGAGGUCUCACUGAUACCAUCUAGCUUAAUGAGAUAAAAAUCCUGGUGAUCUCUGCAAGAAAAUAAAACUAAGAUAAACUAGUAUCUGCUACUGAUAAAUAUUUAACAGAUGUGGUCCAAAUCCCUCUGCCAGCUGGAGGAAGGAAAAAAGUUCUAUUUUACUGCUUGGAUAUAAUUAUUGGCCACAUUUCUCCAAGCAAAGACAGUGACAUUGGCUCACUCCCCAGGAGAACUUUCUUCUGAUCUUGGCACUAGGAUUUGCUUUUCUUUAACAGAUUGCAGCAAUAUACCCUUCAUUUGACCCAGUUUAUUCAUUCAAAAGAUACCUGGAGCCAAAACCAUGUAUGAGAAAUAGCAAAGGAAGAGGCAGGCACAAGCUGUGUUUAUAUACCCACCAAAGGACUACAGCAAAACACAUAUAUUCUAGUCAGCUCUGAGUGCACCUGUCUGUGUCAACAGUAGACCAGCGUGGUCUGGCAGAUGACCAUAUGACCCAGCUGAUUCACUCCGGAGUUAGAGGAACUUUUCCCAGACCCUGAAAGUCACCUUUUUAGACAACUUCGCAAACAGCCAUCCUUGUUCACGGUAUCAUGCCCCUUGUCACUGCUAAACAGACCGUUUGCAAAGAAAUUUCCUAAACAUCACCACUGAGGCUCCUUCCAGCAAUGACUCUGGUCCAUCAUUGGGAUUGCUGAGCAGCUGUUUCAUAACAUGAACAAGGAUGUUUUAACCAUGUUUCUUGACCUGGCCAUUUGGAUCCCAAGGAUGUUUUGGUCCAAGAAUAAAUUCCAGAGCUUAGGUAGGUUACAUACCACAACUAUAUUCAUUUCCUACUUCUAUUCUUUCUCUGUGCAAUCCUUUUCCUAGCACUGUAACUGAAAGUAUUUUUCUAAAACAUUAAUGUGAUCAUACUAUGUCUCUGCUGAAAAGCCAUCAAUCACUAUCUACCUAUUACUGACAAAAACAUGACAUUCUGAUCCCACCUGAUCUGCUCUUUCUCAUCAACAACUCUUCUCCUUAUGUAAUUUCUCACCUGGUGACCAACCACACCCUGCAUGUGCUAUACAUUCAUUUAUGCUUUUUCACCUGCUCAAGGCCCCCAGAAUUAUUUUCAAGUAUUAUUUUUCCCAACACAAAGCAUCAGUCGAUACCUGUAGUAAGUCUGAAGCAUCUCAGAAGCAUUUAUUGACAACCCAGUCUUCUACUCUCCUCUGCCUCCAAACACACAGCACAUACAUUUUGUCCCAAACAUUUGUAGGCCAUCAUUGUCUUUUGCCUGGCAUUUCUUUACUAAUUAAUAUAUAUUUUUAUUCAUGUGUGUAUAUUUAUCUCACCAAUAUUUGGGAGCAGAGCCUAUGUGUUAUUUUAGUUAUACAGGUUGUUGGGUGAUAUGGCUGUGAACCUGAUAUGCUAUAGAUUAUAAGGGGAGGUGGAACCUGUCACACUUCCUCUUCCUCCAUCACUGGUUGUCUGUCUCAAAGCUCACCGAAGAAGACAGGAAAACUUGUCAGAUGGGGAAGGAUGUGUCAAGAGCAUGCACACAGAUUUACUCUUCAGCUAGAAGCUCCAAUUCCUAGAUGAUCUGAAUCCAACUCAGAGUGCUUGCACCUGUUUCCUGCCACACAGCUAGAGCUGUCCAGUGAGAGAGACAUGAUGGCCCAGCUUGAAAAAGAAAUUGAGGAUAGCAAGUGUAACAUACCAAGCAUUCCACGAGCAGUGUCCCUCUAGGUUCUCUGAUUGGCUGAAGCUACUCUAAGCCAAGAGAUCAAAGAAGCUGAUAAUGUAGAAUGUAAGUUUGUCUCCUGGGCCACAAUGGAAAGCAGAGACUGUAGCUGGAGGAGUGAAUAGAGGAUAUGCAGCUCUGGUAAUUCUCAGUACAAUUCCCAGUGGUCCACUCUGCAGAAUGAACCAAGUUCCAUUUUGCCCAACUUCUGGCAGUCCACAUUUGGACUGUGAGCUCACCUACAGAUAAAUCGUACGUGGAUUGAUGCAGUAACUGGAUUUGUAGCUGCUAAAUCUUAUUUAAGUGAGGACCUGUCCAGUACAUGUGAAGACCACCCAUCCACUGAAAGUGAUAAGUGAAGCUGAAUCAAUACUAGACUGAAUCAAUACUGAGCUGAAUCAAUACUUUCCCAAUUUUGAGGAAAUCUUGGAAAAUCUCUGAGAAAUGUGGUAGUAAUUAUUUUGAAGAAUUGGAAAACUUUAUAGCUGAUUAUGCUAUGUGUGGAAGAUACAACAGGAUUAUAAGAGAGAGAAGACAAUAUCCUUGCUGUGUCCAGAAGGCUUUAGCCGGGGUGUCCUACUGAGAGAUGACAAACUUAAGGUUUUUCUCUUCCCAGACAUUACUGGACAACUAGCUAUGUAAUUAGGUCUUAUGCCGAAAAGACUGAAAGGAAAACAUCUCAGAUCUAGGAAUGUGAUCAAGAAAGAAGGCUGGUUAAAGAAUAACAUGGGGAAAAUGAAUGCAGUGAAAUGGUUCACGCACAAGUUCUAGGAAUUCAGAGUGCAACAGCAGAAAUGCGAUUUUUGUUAGAUAUUUCAGAAAGUGAUGUGAGUCCCUGAGGUCAUACUGCAGCGUUCAGGUUCUGUUUGGCCUCCUGCACGAAGCUUUCCUUGAUUGGAAAAGCUGCAUACUCUGAAGCACAUCGCAUGUGUCCUGUCUGUAGUUCAUUUCAUUUCCCCAGAUUUGUUAUCAUCCACCAUCACUCAUACAAGCCUACCUUCUUCAUGCCAACCUUUGUAAUCUUUCUACCUUGCUAACCUGGUCAUGUCAAGGACCAGCUAAUAAAUAGCAAAGUUGUACCUUGAGCCAAGGUAUCUUGACUCUUAGUCCAGUGCUCUUUAUAUACCUCUGAAGUCUUAUUUGAGCUUCAAAAUUAUGAGUCUGUGCUCUCAAGAUUUUUUUGAAAAUGUACUUAAUGUUGCCCCUAAGCUUUUAUGAGAAAUAAUAAAGUUCUUUCCAGAUUGAAUAUCUAAUAACUCCAUUUCAUUUUAUGCUUUCUCAUGUAUGGAUGUCUAUAACUGGAAUGCUAUUUGGGCUACUGAGAUAUUUUCUUAAUUCUCUGUUUUGUGUUAGUUCUUUUUGUUUGUUUAUUUGACAACCAUAUUUUUGCACCUGAGAUAAAUCUGGCAUUCUAUUCAACUUCAAUUUCAAAGAGAAUCUGAGAAUGUACUGGUAGAACGAUAUUUGAAUACUAAUAUCUUGGAAAUACAGAAAUAAGUAUCAUACAUUUUGUUACAUUCUGUUUGUGUACAAAUAAUAUAAAAAUCAAUGAAUGAGAAUUUCAUAUUUGAAUUGUAUAUGGAUUGAUGCAAUAACUUGAUUUAGACAAUACUUUUUAUGAAGAAAGGUAAAAACAAUAAAAAUAUAGAAUUGCUUAUAGUUUUGUAACAUAUAUGGUCUA